GAUGAAGAACGUAGCGAAAUGCGAUACGUAAUGUGAAUUGCAGAAUUCAGUGAAUCAUCGAGUCUUUGAACGCACAUUGCGCCCCCUGGUAUUCCGGGGGGCAUGCCUGUCCGAGCGUCAUUGCUGCCCUCAAGCACGGCUUGUGUGUUGGGCCUCCGUCCUCCUCCCGGGGGACGGGCCCGAAAGGCAGCGGCGGCACCGCGUCCGGUCCUCGAGCGUAUGGGGCUUCGUCACCCGCUCUUGUAGGCCCGGUCGGCGCUUGCCGACACAUCAAUCUUUUUUCCAGGUUGACCUUGGAUCAGGUAGGGAUACCCGCUGAACUUAAGCAUAUCAAUAAGCGGAGGA
rnacentral:misc_RNA from 1 species